rnacentral:rRNA from 1 species
AGAGUUUGAUCCUGGCUCAGGACGAACGCUGACGGUGUGCUUUAGACAUGCAAGUCGAACGAGAAAGCCCUUCGGGGUGAGUACAGUGGCGAACGGGUGAGUAACACGUGGGCAAUCUGCCCCUCGCAGGGGGACAACCGGGGGAAACUCCGGCUAAUACCCCGUACGCUUGCGGAGCCGCAUGGCUCUGUAAGGAGAGGUAGCUUCGGCCAUCCGGCGAGGGAUGAGCCCGCGGUACAUUAGCUAGUUGGUGGGGUAACGGCCCACCAAGGCGACGAUGUAUAGCUGGUCUGAGAGGAUGAUCAGCCACACUGGGACUGAGACACGGCCCAGACUCCUACGGGAGGCAGCAGUCGGGAAUCUUGCGCAAUGGGCGAAAGCCUGACGCAGCAACACCGUGUGAGCGAUGAAGGCCUUCGGGUCGUAAAGCUCUGUUGUUGGGGACGAAGGGCGAGGGGUUAAUAGCCCCGAGCUUGACGGUACCCUUCGAGGAAGCCCCGGCUAACUACGUGCCAGCAGCCGCGGUAAUACGUAGGGGGCGAGCGUUGUCCGGAAUUAUUGGGCGUAAAGAGCGUGUAGGCGGUUCGGUAAGUCUGCUGUGAAAACCCAGGGCUCAACCCUGGGCGUGCAGUGGAUACUGCCGGGCUAGAGGGUGGUAGAGGCGAGUGGAAUUCCCAGUGUAGCGGUGAAAUGCGCAGAUAUUGGGAGGAACACCAGUAGCGAAGGCGGCUCGCUGGGCCAUUCCUGACGCUGAGACGCGAAAGCUAGGGGAGCGAACAGGAUUAGAUACCCUAGUAGUCC